GCAAACUUGGUCAUUUAGAGGAAGUAAAAGUCGUAACAAGGUCUCCGUAGGUGAACCUGCGGAGGGAUCAUUACCGAGCGAGGGCGCUCGCGCCCGACCUCCCACCCAAUGUUGAUUACACCUCUGUUGCCUCGGGGGCGACCCGGCACACCCGUCGCCGGGGCCCCCGACGGACCAUCCAACUCUGCAUCUUUGCGUCGGAGUGAAACGACAAAUGAAUCAAAACUUUCAACAACGGAUCUCUUGGUUCUGGCAUCGAUGAAGAACGCAGC
rnacentral:misc_RNA from 1 species